rnacentral:rRNA from 1 species
GGGUUGUGAGGUUAAGCGACUAAGCGUACACGGUGGAUGCCCUGGCAGUCAGAGGCGAUGAAGGACGUGCUAAUCUGCGAUAAGCGUCGGUAAGGUGAUAUGAACCGUUAUAACCGGCGAUUUCCGAAUGGGGAAACCCAGUGUGAUUCGUCACACUAUCAUUAACUGAAUCCAUAGGUUAAUGAGGCGAACCGGGGGAACUGAAACAUCUAAGUACCCCGAGGAAAAGAAAUCAACCGAGAUUCCCCCAGUAGCGGCGAGCGAACGGGGAGCAGCCCAGAGCCUGAAUCAGUGUGUGUGUUAGUGGAAGCGUCUGGAAAGGCGCGCGAUACAGGGUGACAGCCCCGUACACAAAAAUGCACAUGCUGUGAGCUCGAUGAGUAGGGCGGGACACGUGGUAUCCUGUCUGAAUAUGGGGGGACCAUCCUCCAAGGCUAAAUACUCCUGACUGACCGAUAGUGAACCAGUACCGUGAGGGAAAGGCGAAAAGAACCCCGGCGAGGGGAGUGAAAAAGAACCUGAAACCGUGUACGUACAAGCAGUGGGAGCACGCUUAGGCGUGUGACUGCGUACCUUUUGUAUAAUGGGUCAGCGACUUAUAUUCUGUAGCAAGGUUAACCGAAUAGGGGAGCCGAAGGGAAACCGAGUCUUAACUGGGCGUUAAGUUGCAGGGUAUAGACCCGAAACCCGGUGAUCUAGCCAUGGGCAGGUUGAAGGUUGGGUAACACUAACUGGAGGACCGAACCGACUAAUGUUGAAAAAUUAGCGGAUGACUUGUGGCUGGGGGUGAAAGGCCAAUCAAACCGGGAGAUAGCUGGUUCUCCCCGAAAGCUAUUUAGGUAGCGCCUCGUGAAUUCAUCUCCGGGGGUAGAGCACUGUUUCGGCAAGGGGGUCAUCCCGACUUACCAACCCGAUGCAAACUGCGAAUACCGGAGAAUGUUAUCACGGGAGACACACGGCGGGUGCUAACGUCCGUCGUGAAGAGGGAAACAACCCAGACCGCCAGCUAAGGUCCCAAAGUCAUGGUUAAGUGGGAAACGAUGUGGGAAGGCCCAGACAGCCAGGAUGUUGGCUUAGAAGCAGCCAUCAUUUAAAGAAAGCGUAAUAGCUCACUGGUCGAGUCGGCCUGCGCGGAAGAUGUAACGGGGCUAAACCAUGCACCGAAGCUGCGGCAGCGACGCUUAUGCGUUGUUGGGUAGGGGAGCGUUCUGUAAGCCUGUGAAGGUGUACUGUGAGGUAUGCUGGAG